rnacentral:rRNA from 1 species
ACAGAGGUCCCAAGCGUUGUUCGGAUUCAUUGGGCGUAAAGGGUGCGUAGGCGGCAGUGUAAGUUGGACGUGAAAUCCUGGGGCUCAACCUCAGAAUUGCGUUCAAUACUGCAUUGCUAGGGCGCUGUAGAGGAGAUUGGAAUUUACGGUGUAGCAGUGAAAUGCGUAGAUAUCGUAAGGAAGACCAGUGGCGAAAGCGAAUCUCUGGGCAGCAGCCGACGCUGAGGCACGAAGGCCAGGGGAGCAAACGGGA